GACGAACGCUGGCGGCGUGCUUAACACAUGCAAGUCGAGCGGUAAGGCCCUUUCGGGGGUACGACGAGCGGCGAACGGGUGAGUAACACGUGGGUGACCUGCCCUUACGCUCUGGGAUAAGCCUGGGAAACUGGGUCUAAUACCGGAUAUGACUCCAUAACGCAUGUUGUGGGGUGGAAAGCCUUGUGCGGCUAGGGAUGGGCCCGCGGCCUAUCAGCUUGUUGGUGGGGUGAUGGCCUACCAAGGCGACGACGGGUAGCCGGCCUGAGGAGGGCGACCGGCCACAC
rnacentral:rRNA from 1 species